GGUUGAUCCUGCCAGUAGUCAUAUGCUUGUCCUAAAGAUUAAGCCAUGCAUGUCUAAGUAUAAACACGUUGUACUGUGAAACUGCGAAUGGCUCAUUAUAUCAGUGAUAAUUUAUUUGAUAGUCUCAUUACUACUUGGAUAACCGUGGUAAUUCUAGAGCUAAUACAUGCAAAAGGCCCGACUGGCACGUUCGCGUGCGGGGAAGGGCUGUAUUUAUUAGAUUAAAAACCGACAUUGUUGGUGAUUCAUGAUAACUGUGCGGAUCGCAUGGCCUUGCGCCGGCGACGGUUCAU
rnacentral:rRNA from 1 species